rnacentral:lncRNA from 1 species
ACCCCGCCCCUCCCUCACCCCCUCUCCCCCCGCCUUUGCUUUCCUGCCCCCUCUGUCCACUCGCUCGGCACCUGUCUCCCCUGAAUCAUGGCACCGCAUGCUUCCUUUUCUUCCUUGUCCCACAUCCAUACCCCCACCUGCGUGCCCUGGGCCCCCCCCACAUGCAUGUGCACACUGCUCACACAGACACAGGAACACAUAUACACGCGUGCAUGCCCACACAGGGCACCGUGCCUCCCCGGCCUGGCACCUGCACCCUGCGUUCGUCCACUUAGGAGACAGGCUCAGAGACGCUGGGAACUGGCUGAGAGCCACACAGCUAGUGAACAGCAAAGCUGGGAUUCGAACCAGCGCUACCUGUUAGCGAUUGGGCGCCACAGCCCGCGUCGUGAGAGAACAGGGCUCCCGUGGUCACUGGGUCCUCACUGGAGCUCCCCCCAGGGUAGAGAAGGAAGGCUUGGCAGGCCUCCCGGCCCACCCCGCCCUCCCGCCUGUCAACACAACAUAAAAGCCAAUUUAGAAGUAAAUAAAUUCACUAGGAAGAGCAGAACCUUUAAAAAGGAAAAUUGAGAUGCCCAAAGGGGGUGUCGUCCCAUUUCACAAUUGAAUUGUAAAUGUGUCUUGGAGGGAAGGCCCCCCCCCCCCUCCCCCCCCCCGCCUUCCUGGGCUUUCCCUCCGGCCCCUCCACGUCCCAGACCUCUGCAAACAGGGCCAGAUCGGUCACCGUGGGCCCAGGCUUUGCGUGGGGUGGCCGAGCCCCGGGCUCCGAAGGGCACAGCUGGCGGGACCACAGGUGCCCUACCGCUGGGCUUUCCGACAGCAGCGGGGUCGCUGCCUCCCUUCCGGUCUCGGCACCACGGGCACCCCCCCCCCAACCACCCCCCCACACCCCCCCCCGUGCAACACGUGGCCUCUCCACGGGAGCAGCCUGGUCCCCGCUGAGGAAGAGGCCGGCUGAGGCCACGCCCCCUUCCUCUCCGCGCGGGGGGGGGGGGCUGGGCACCGCCUGGUCAAUUUAUGACCAGCAGCGCAGGGGCGACGGCGCGGACCCCCAGCCGCAUAGGACUGAACGCCGGGAAGCUGGUGACGUUCAGCAUCACAAGUACAGCGCGAGCGUCGCAGAUGACAUUUCCGGACGUCCGUGGCCCCGCGUACCGCACACGCGCUGUCACCCUCGGAGGCGCCACCAUCCUGGCGAGGUACCCACCCCCUCCUCAGGAAUUGCACCCCCCGGAGAAGCCUCCACCUUCUACAGCAAGCAUCGCCCUGACUGGUAGCUGGAACCUCGGCCCCUGGGGAGCAUCACGGAAGGCAAGAAGGUGUUUAUUACAGACAGGCCGGCCAUCUCCACCCGACAGGCGGCUCAAGAGGUAGGUUUUUAGGACUCUGUGUGAAAGUGUGCGAUUUCU